rnacentral:rRNA from 1 species
CCUGGUGGCGAGUGGCGAACGGGUGAGUAAUACAUCGGAACGUGCCCUGUAUGGGGGAGUAACUAGUCGAAAGAUUAGCUAAUACCGCAUACGACCUGAGGGUGAAAGUGGGGGACCGCAAGGCCUCAUGCUAUAGGAGCGGCCGAUGUCUGAUUAGCUAGUUGGUGGGGUAAAGGCUCACCAAGGCGACGAUCAGUAGCUGGUCUGAGAGGACGAUCAGCCACACUGGGACUGAGACACGGCCCAG